UACGUAGGUGGCAAGCGUUGUCCGGAUUUACUGGGCGUAAAGAGCGCGCAGGCGGUCGUUCAAGUCGCGUGUGAAAGCCCCCGGCUCAACUGGGGAGGGUCACGCGAUACUGAUCGACUCGAAGGCAGGAGAGGGUAGUGGAAUUCCCGGUGUAGUGGUGAAAUGCGCAGAUAUCGGGAGGAACACCUAUGGCGAAGGCAGCUCGCUGGGACGGCACUGACGCUGAGACGCGAAAGCGUGGGGAGCAAACAGG
rnacentral:rRNA from 1 species